GACGAACGCUGGCGGCGUGCUUAACACAUGCAAGUCGUACGGUAAGGCCCUUUCGGGGGUACACGAGUGGCGAACGGGUGAGUAACACGUGAGUAACCUGCCCACAACUUUGGGAUAACGCUAGUAAACUGGUGCUAAUACUGGAUAUGUGCUCCUGCUGCAUGGUGGGGGUUGGAAAGCUCCGGCGGUUGUGGCUGGACUCGCGGCCUAUCAGCUUGUUGGUGGGGUAGUGGCCUACCAAGGCGGCGACGGGUAGCCGGCCUGAGAGGGUGACCGGCCACAUUGGGACUGAGAUACGGCACAGACUCCGACGGGAGGCAGCAGUGGGGAAUAUUGCACAAUGGGCGCAAGCCUGAUGCAGAAACGCCGCGUGCGGGAUGACGGCCUUGGGGUUGUAAACCGCUUUCAGCAGGGAAGAAGCUUUUUGUGACGGUACCUGCAGAAGAAGCACCGGCUAACUACGUG
rnacentral:rRNA from 1 species